rnacentral:rRNA from 1 species
GAUGAACGCUGGCGGCGUGCCUAAUACAUGCAAGUCGAGCGAACAGACGAGGAGCUUGCUCCUCUGACGUUAGCGGCGGACGGGUGAGUAACACGUGGAUAACCUACCUAUAAGACUGGGAUAACUUCGGGAAACCGGAGCUAAUACCGGAUAAUAUAUUGAACCGCAUGGUUCAAUAGUGAAAGACGGUCUUGCUGUCACUUAUAGAUGGACCCGCGCCGCAUUAGCUAGUUGGUAAGGUAACGGCUUACCAAGGCGACGAUGCGUAGCCGACCUGAGAGGGUGAUCGGCCACACUGGAACUGAGACACGGUCCAGACUCCUACGGGAGGCAGCAGUAGGGAAUCUUCCGCAAAGGGCGAAAGCCUGACGGAGCAACGCCGCGUGAGUGAUGAAGGUCUUCGGAUCGUAAAACUCUGUUAUUAGGGAAGAACAAAUGUGUAAGUAACUAUGCACGUCUUGACGGUACCUAAUCAGAAAGCCACGGCUAACUACGUG